AUACAGAGGGUGCGAGCGUUAAUCGGAAUUACUGGGCGUAAAGCGCGCGUAGGCGGCUUAUUAAGUCAGAUGUGAAAUCCCCGGGCUCAACCUGGGAACUGCAUCUGAUACUGGUAAGCUAGAGUUUUGGAGAGGGAAGUAGAAUUUCAGGUGUAGAGGUGAAAUGCAUAGAGAUCUGAAGGAAUACCAGUGGCGAAGGAGACUUCCUGGCCAAAAACUGACGCUGAGGUGCGAAAGCGUGGGUAGCAAACGGGAUUAGAAACCCUAGUAGUCC
rnacentral:rRNA from 1 species